UAUCUUUUCUCCAAUGUAUAUUUUUUUGGCAUCUUUUAAAAAUUGAGGUGGCAAUAGGUGUGCAGAUGACUCAAACCCAGCUCCUCGAUUCUACUCCUUUGAUCAGUGCGUCUGUUCUCAAGCAGGUACAACGCUGUUUGAGUUACUGUAGCCCAGUAGUAUUACUUGAAAUCAGGGAUGGCGAUGUCACUGGCAAUGCGUUUAUUGCUCUGGCUAUCCUGGGUCUUUUGUACUUCCGUAUGACUUUUGAGAUUUUUUUUUCAAUUUUUGUGAAGAACUACAUUUGACUUGUGAUGGAAUGCUCACUGAAUCUGUAGAUUGCUUUUCAUAGGAAGGGCACUUUCAGAGUAAGACUGCCAAUCCAUGAGCAUUCAGGGUCCCACAGUGGUGUACAUAGAGUUAGCACUAAAUUGACUCAGAGAUAGUGUGUAUAUAUACAUAUAUAUAUAUAUAUUUCUCCAUAUAAGAACUGUUUUAUGCCUUUUUUCAAAAUCAAUAUAAACUUAAAUUUAUUUUCAAGCUGCUACAUUGAAACAAAAAAUUGAGACUGGGGGAACGAGGGUCUGGGUUUAAGUUCUGAGCACCUACAUAAAAACUAGUGGGACGGCAAGCACCUCUAACUCCGGCAUUGAGUUGGGGCACAGACAGGAGGCUAUCUGGAGCACAUUGAUCAGCCAACUCUGCCAGGUCUGUCAGCUCCAGGUUCAUGGAGAAAAAUCUGAACCAAACAGUAAUGUGGAGAGUGACCAAGGAAGACAGAUGACCUCUGAUCCCCACAUACACACACGUGCAAGCACACCUUCAAACAUUCAUGCACAUAACCAUAUGAGCUGGCACCAACACCUUUCCACACACAAUUGUACAUAUGUUUCUAGUGUCCUGUGUUAUGUAACGUGCGUAUAUACUGUGUUACUAAAGCUUUAAUCAAGUUAAACAUAUUUCCUAAACAUUAAUUGCUUCUUUACCUUGAAAAUGUUUAAACCCCUUUUGUAUCUCUCUGUAAUGCAGAGGACCUCGCUGUUGCCUAUAACCGCCUUCUGUAGACACGGAUCAGGACCUAACUUCUUGCUUGCCUCUGUCUAGCUGGGGACCGAACCCAGGGCCUUGCACUUGCUAGGCAAGCGCUCUACCACUGAGCUAAUCCCCAACCCCUCCUGAUGUAUUUUUAAACCUCAGGAGGUUAAAACAGAGGCAGAAGGAACGCCCAUUCAGAGCCUGCCCCACAUGUGACCCAUACAUAUACAGCCACCCAAUUAGAUAAGAUGGAUGAAGCAAAGAAGUGCAGGCCGACAGGAGCCGGAUGUAGAUCUCUCCUGAGAGCCACAGCCAGAAUACAGCAAACACAGAGGCGAAUGCCAGCAGCAAACCACUGAACUGAGAACGGGACCCCCAUUCAAGGAAUCAGAGAAAGAAUUGGAAGAGCUUGAAGGGGCUCGAGACCCCAUAUGAACAACAAUGCCAAGCAACCAGAGCUUCCAGGGACUAAGCCACUACCUAAAGACUAUACAUGGACUGACCCUGGGCUCCAAUCUCAUAGGUAGCAAUGAAUAUCCUAGUAAGAUCACCAGUGGAAGGGGAAGCCCUUGGUCCUGCCAAGACUGAACCCCCAGUGAUCAUGAUUGUUGGGGGGAGGGCGGUAAUGGGGGGAGGAUGGGGAGGGGAACACCCAUAUAGAAGGGGUUAGGGGGAUGUUGGCCUGGAAACUGGGAAAGGGAAUAACAAUCGAAAUGUAAAUAAGAAAUACUCAAGUUAAUAAGGAUUUAAAAAAAAAAAACCUCGGGAGGAUAUUUACACAAAAGAAAGCGUUUGGGGUAUAAAAGGUAUGACAACUUAAAACACUAAAAAGAAUUGUCACUUUU